rnacentral:rRNA from 1 species
CAAUAACGUAUAUUUAAGUUGUUGCAGUUAAAAAGCUCGUAGUCGGAUUUUGGCUGAGAACGAUCGGUCCGCCGUUAGGUGUGCACUGAUUGGUCUCAGCUUCCUGGUGAGGAGGUGUGCUUCACGGCCACUUAGUCACCGUGGUUACUUUGAAAAAAUUAGAGUGUUCAAAGCGGGCUUACGCUUGAAUAUAUUAGCAUGGAAUAACACCAUAGGACUCCUGUCCUAUUUCGUUGGUCUCGGGACGGGAGUAAUGAUUAAGAGGAACAGUUGGGGGCAUUCGUAUUUCAUUGUCAGAGGUGAAAUUCUUGGAUUUAUGAAAGACGAACUUCUGCGAAAGCAUUUGCCAAGGAUGUUUUCAUUGA